AUGAACAGAAAUUUGGUUACUCCACCAUUAAUGGUGGGUAGCUGUCCUAAUUUUCUUGUGGUGUGGUAUGCUAUUGACACUUUGAUUCUUAUGAAAGCAGGCCCAGUUCAUUCGUACAACCUUAAGGCUCUACUCGGUACUUUUGCAACUGCCACAGGGCUAAAGGUUAAUUAUCACAAGUCUAAUUUGAUACAAAUUAACUUAACUGAAGAAAGGGCUGAAAUCAUGACUCAUACCUUGGGGUGCAAAAGGGGCUCUUUCCCACUCACAUAUCUAGGACUUCCACUUGGAUUGGCUAAAUCCUCUGUGGAGCAAUGCCUUCCUCCAGUGCAAAGAAUUGCUAAGAAGUUGAUGGGUUGA
rnacentral:rRNA from 1 species